CCGGAGUUUACACUCCCAAACCCCUGUGAACCUAUACCCUUACUGUUGCCUCGGCCGUGCCCGCCGGAGGACCCAAACCCUUCUGUAUUUUUCUUCCGCAUGUCUGAGUGGAUUUACAAAUGAAUCA
rnacentral:misc_RNA from 1 species